AUCCGUUUUUGGCUUUUGGAUAAGAUCAAGUAUAGUAUCUAUUCUGACCAGUUGAAUAUCUAGUUUAAUAUCUGAUACACCUUCUAUCCAAAGCAAUUUACUAAAUGGGCUUUGGGAGCAAGGAGAUAAAAUAGAAACUUGCUCCAUCUACUCACAAAUUGACCUAGUAUUGCAGAACCUCUAGGAAUGAUGCCUCUUCU
ensembl:snRNA U2 U2 spliceosomal RNA